rnacentral:rRNA from 1 species
AGUAUUGCGCAAUGGGGGAAACCCUGACGCAGCGACGCCGCGUGAGUGAUGAAGGUCUUCGGAUCGUAAAACUCUGUCCUCAGGGAAGAAACAAAUGACGGUACCUGAGGAGGAAGCCCCGGCUAACUACGUGCCAGCAGCCGCGGUAAUACGUAGGGGGCGAGCGUUGUCCGGAAUUAUUGGGCGUAAAGGGUGCGUAGGCGGUCCUUUAAGUCAGAUGUGAAAGGCUACGGCUUAACCGUAGUUAGCAUUUGAAACUAAAAGGCUUGAGUGCAGGAGAGGAGAGUGGAAUUCCUAGUGUAGCGGUGAAAUGCGUAGAUAUUAGGAGGAACACCAGUGGCGAAGGCGACUCUCUGGACUGCAACUGACGCUGAGGCACGAAAGCGUGGGGAGCGAACAG